rnacentral:lncRNA from 1 species
AGGGCAGCUCCAUGACAUGUACAUAGGUUUCACCUUCAUUCAUGACAUGCAUGCAUUGGUCAAGAACUACUCUUCUAAAUUUAGAUCAAGCAUUUGGAUUUCUUUUCUGUUUGGUAGACAUAGGACAGCAAAUUUAUAAUAGACUUUGUUGCCACUGAAAGACAUACUACAACCCCUAGAGGAAGACAUCACACCAUACCCUUCCCUCACCAAAUCAAAUAUAAGAGUCUGACUUUAACUAGAAAAAAAAAAAACACCAAAAGGAAGAACUAACUCUUCCAAACCCUACCUGAUCUAAAGUCACUUUUCAGAUAUGGAUCUAUUUUCUUGCUGUUCAGGGCUCGGAAGUCUUAAUAACAAAAGGUGGACAUCAUGUGGUAAGUGGAGAUGUAGAGUAUAGAUAAAGACAACAUCAACUCCUGUAGCUUAUAAAUAAAAGGAACAGAGAGCAACAGAGGGCUGGCGAUGGCACCUUAGUACUGAUUUCAGUGCUCCAAAAAUGUCACUACCUACCGACUUCAAGCCUGCCAUCUUAAAUUAAUGAUGUCUUGUUCAACAACUGCAUCAUUAC